rnacentral:rRNA from 1 species
ACGCCGCGUGAGGGAUGACGGCCUUCGGGUUGUAAACCUCUUCAGCAGGGACGAAGCGCAAGUGACGGUACCUGCAGAAGAAGCACCGGCCAACUACGUGCCAGCAGCCGCGGUAAUACGUAGGGUGCGAGCGUUGUCCGGAAUUAUUGGGCGUAAAGGGCUCGUAGGCGGUUUGUCGCGUCGGGAGUGAAAACUCAGGGCUUAACUCUGAGCCUGCUUCCGAUACGGGCAGACUAGAGGUAUGCAGGGGAGAAUGGAAUUCCUGGUGUAGCGGUGAAAUGCGCAGAUAUCAGGAGGAACACCGGUGGCGAAGGCGGUUCUCUGGGCAUUACCUGACGCUGAGGAGCGAAAGUGUGGGGAGCGAACAGGAUUAGAUACCCUGGUAGUCCACACCGUAAACGUUGGGCGCUAGGUGUGGGGCUCAUUCCACGAGUUCCGUGCCGCAGCUAACGCAUUAAGCGCCCCGCCUGGG